GAAGAAGCAAAGUGAUGAGCAAUACUUGCAUGAGCCAAAGUGAGUGAGUUGUGUGUGUGUGUUGUGUGAUGGUUGGUUGUGAGAAGUGUGUCCCUUAUAACUGGGCCAUGAUAGCUAAACUGAUAAGAUCUGAUUGCUUC
rnacentral:snoRNA from 1 species